UAAGGCUCAUCUAUUCCAGCCCCUCAGGCAGUCCCAUUUGACCCAGGGAUGGGUGUCUCCGGAGAGGGACCGCAGGAAUUUCAUCCGUUCAGCAGAGCAGGUUCAGCCACCUGGGCUAAGCAGUACUAACAAAUCCUCACCUGGCUGGAAGCUUCUUGAUAACUAAUAUUCUUGUGCUCCUCCUGAGCUGUUCUCCUGCAGCAGGACUGCUCAAAUGCUGUUUGCCAGGUGUUUUGAGGGAAAGACCCAGGUGUCCUAGCUCCAGGGAAAAGCCCAAAUUCAAAAAGGCUCUUUUCCCAAACCUACCUCAGGGCAGCAGGAUCCUGUUGGAAAUGACAAAGCUGGACUUGGCUCUUUUUAUGAUGCAAGACAAAAUAUUUUUCUGCUUCUUCAUCCACUUCUGCAAU